CCUACGGGUGGCAGCAGUGAGGAAUAUUGGUCAAUGGGCGCGAGCCUGAACCAGCCAAGUAGCGUGAAGGAUGACUGCCCUACGGGUUGUAAACUUCUUUUAUAAAGGAAUAAAGUGAUGCACGUGUGCCUUUUUGUAUGUACUUUAUGAAUAAGGAUCGGCUAACUACGUGCCAGCAGCCGCGGUAAUACGGAGGAUCCGAGCGUUAUCCGGAUUUAUUGGGUUUAAAGGGAGCGUAGAGGGGUUGUUAAGUCAGUUGUGAAAGUUUGUGGCUCAACCGUAAGAUUGCAAUUGAUACUGGCAGCCGUGAGUACAGUUGAGGUAGGCGGAAUUCGUGGUGUAGCGGGGAAAUGCUUAGAUAUCACGAAGAACUCCGAUUGCGAAGGCAGCCUACUAAACUGCCACUGACAUUGAUGCUCGAAAGUGUGGGUAUCAAACAGGAGUAGAUACCCUAGUAGUC
rnacentral:rRNA from 1 species